rnacentral:rRNA from 1 species
UACGAAGGUGGCAAGCGUUACUCGGAAUUACUAGGCGUAAAGGGCAGGUAGGUGGUUUGAUAAGUCUGUUGUGAAAGCUCCCGGCUCAACUGGGAGAGGCCAACGGAUACUAUCAGGCUUGAGUAUAGGAGAGGUUACUGGAAUUCCCGGUGUAGCGGUGAAAUGCGUAGAUAUCGUGAGGAACACCAGAGGCGAAGGCGGCUACCUGGACAAUUGCUGACGCUCAGGCACGAAAGCGUGGGGAGCAAAAGGG